AGAAGUGCUUUACACAUUACACUAGGACAUAUUCCAUUCAAACAUUGCCAUUGUUAUAAAAUUUUAGUACUAUAUCACAUGCUGCGUUAAGAACUUAUUGAUUUCGUUGGUGUAGAAGGAUAAAAGACUUCAUUUGCAAGCUGAAUGAGAGUGAAGUUAGAGAGUACGAUGGAAAAGUAAAAGUUAUGUCAUGCAACUAUUAGUCCAGUCCAUUUUUUAGGAGACUUAAGUAAGCAAACAGAUAGCCAGAGGAUGCUUCCAAUUGAUCAAUAAAAGAUAUGAGAAAAGGGUGGAGAAAGGAAAUCUAUACCCUUUUAUUUUUUUAGUUGCUUUCCACGAAUGUCUAUUCUUUGCUCUCCAAUUAAUGGAUCUUCAUACUUUUCUGUCUCUCAACACUUUGUUGAAAUAGGAAAUCAUGAGAAGUGAGAGAUAAUAUGUAUGAGUUAUUUAUGUAGAGUGUAUCAUUAAGGGACUAUUAUAGAACGUGUUCCACAAUAUGAUUUAAUAGUUUGUCAUGGGCAUAGUUGUAAACAGGGUGUUCGAUGUAAUGUUUGUGUAUAUUCGUGUCUUUCAGUUUUGUUCAUGCUUUGCAUAACAUGUAGAGGGUUUGCAGUAGGUUUGGUAGCCCUAUUUUGAUUGGCUUUUGUGGUCGUUUCAAGUGUAAACGUAGGUUGUAUGCAAUCGUCGCAUAGAGGCAAAACUACCCGCCAUCCAAGUAGCCAUUUUGGGGGCUUUCUAGCUCUGUAGAGUGAUGUAGAGUGUCAGCCAACACAACACCCAGAAGCUACUCGGGUGGCACAUGAUCGGAUGAGCCUUUGGGGUAGUGUCUAGGGUUGGUUUGAUGUCUUGUUCCACAACAAUAUCAUGUGGGCACUUAUGGGGACUUUUAGUCAUGGCGGACCACUUUAGAAUAUUGUCACAUGACUGUUUAGAGGUUGUGAACUCUAUGUUUGUAAUUUGCAUUGUCUAUCAAGUGUUUGCUGAAAUGGUUGCUUGUGGAUCUCGAGUUAAACGCUUUCUCUAACUCGUCUUCUCUUUUGUAGGUCCUUAAGGGACCAUAAGAGAUUUCAGGAAGGUUGAUCCUUUGCGGAAAAACAUGCAAGGAUGUCGCACGACUUAGGCAAAACCAGCUAAGUCUAUGAUAAAUGGUAUCAGAGUGGGACAAUCACGCUUAGAAACACUUGACAUGUAAACGUGGGGGACAUAGCGGGGUUGCAUUGAGGGUAGCUAGCAUGCGUGACUGUUUGGGGGAAACUGGCAUUGAGAUGUAAGGAAAGGAGUCGCUCAGAGGAGCGGGCAUCCGAGAUUGACAUUUAGAGGAAUGACCAACCCUUCACGCGAGAGGCACCACGAGGAUAAUUGAGCCGAGAAGAAUGUGUAGUGCAUAAAGGUUAGGAUGGCUGAGUUCGAGCUAUGAUUUGACGUUGGUAACCAAAUUGAUAAUGCUCAAGGCAAGCAGGACGCUUGGCAAAGGAUAAGACCGUGCAAGGUGGGAUUGGUUGCUCAAGAACCAAAAGAGUUGUGCAAAGCUUACAGAGGUGAGGGGAAUUACUAACUCGAAGAAUUUAGUACUAAUACAAGAGCUUGUAUGCGGACAAUGGACUGUUCAUGGCCAUCCCAAGGUAAUCGAAACUCGGUGCCAUAGAACAUUAAAACUUUCUCUUUAGCAUGGGAAGGAUACGUCCGUAGGAGGUUGAAAUGUGCAGCGAGUUCAUCAUGUUGCUAGGCUUUGAGGGGCGUAGCGGGGGGUUGUAUUGGCGAAGAGUCGCAAUCUAGGUAGUGCGUUUGCAGGGACGGAAUAGUGCACAGUUUAUUCAGCAAGGCGAAGUAGUCCAAGGGGAUGGUUGUCUUCGAAACUUCCAGAGGGAAGGAUGUAAAGAGAGAAGUUGUUCCAAUGGGAUAGAUAUUUAGGAGGGAUAAAUCCCGGUUCUCCAAAGAGAUAAUCAUGUGCAAUGGACUGCACAUAUUGAGGAGGGGGUAUCUUAAGACAAUAACUCCAUAAAACUCAACGGACCGAGCGAGCGACGAGGAGUCAUUGCAUGAUCUUGCAUGAGGUAAUGCUUUGGUGAAUGCAUUGUGAGAUCAAGUGGGGGAGUAGCCCCAAGGCAACACCAAACGAAGGCACACUUAGAGUCGAUGUGGAAAUCAGACUCAACAGAGGGCUGACCCGUGGAAUGGUGGGCGCAAGGGCCACCAUCAACUAAAUGCAAAUCGAGGAGCGAAGUAAUUUGGGUGGAACUUGAUGAAGUGCUCAAGUCGUAUGAAGGGAGUCGACAUAGAAGACGAAACAUAGAGCGGAGGCACGAAUCCUUCCUUAGAGGUCAAGGACAUGAACUCUUACAAAGGUAAGAGCGAGAUCAUGUCGUUACAUGGGUCCCUCAUUCUGGAGUGGACUCAACUUGCAUAGUACCAAAGUUAAAGAGAGCUUCGAGGCAUAUGCACCUUAUCUCGGUGAAGCAUUUAAUAGAGGAAUUAAGACUACUCAACUUGUAGAGGCGAAGUUGGGGUCAGAAGGGCUUGGCACGGGGCAAUAUAACGCAGGAGGCGAGUACUCUUGAAGAAUAUAUCGUAAUGUUGCCAUUCGAGUUACCACAAAUGAAGUGGUGCAUUGGAGAGAUUGUGCUAGGGGGGCAGAGGCUCAGGAUCCAGACAAUGGUGCACCAACUUUAGCGAAGUCCACCGGCUGCUAGGCGACAGACUAUCCUAGAGCUAUGUUUCAUUUGGGUGUGACUCGAGAGCAGGUGGAUGAAGCUAGAUUACCAAAGGAGCGAACAUAAUCGAAGGUGGCAGAGGCCCUACGAUGUGCUGUCAAAGGCCAUUCAUAGAGAGAUCACAGUCCGAGUUCAUCCCACAAAGAUCAUAAUGCAAUGGAGAUGCCACCAGGAGGUAUGAUCGGGAGCUACUAAGAGCUUCACUUCGGUGAACAACAUGACAACAAGAAGGGCUAUGGAUUCAAUGAGUGAAUGUCAUGGUACCGUAAAGGUGGGUCUUCCGUGUGUGCAUCGAAUUUUGCAUCGGAUGGAAGCCUUGGUCAUCAGCAUAUUGGGGUUGUGUACCACCGAGAGAAAAUUCUGAGUGCAAGUACCAGUGAGUCCCCCAUGGGGAGGCUUGAUCAUGUAGAGGUAUGAUCGGAGCGACUGGAGAGUGGAUUGCUCCAGAGCUCAUAUUCGCUUAAAGGAACCCGACAAGUCAGAGGAUAAAGUCGAGUAAGUGAAUGUUGCUACCAAGGAAGCAAAGGAGAACAUAAUUGGCGCGAGCCCAACAACAUGAUGGCGGAGGCCAUGUAUAAGAGUUGUAGUCUGUCUUUCCAUUGACCAAAGGGAACUGCUCGGAGAAACACAGAGGUGUUGAAGUAGGUGGUCGAAAAAAGCAUGGCAGCGCCGUGGUACCGAAGAGGUGGGACUUCCAUGGAGUCAUCGAUUCCUUGCUCUCAUUGAGGGAGAGCGCUUGGUCAUGAAAGGGACCGAGGAGGUGGAGAAUGUAGAGACAGACUCUAAGUACCAAGACAAGGCUAAAGGGUAGAAGCCAAAGAAUUUUGUAAGACCAGUGUCAAUGGACUUCUUAUUAAAAUAACAUAAAGUGGAGGACUUCGGGUCGAUUCAGGAGUGCUCGACCAAAGAACGAAGUAGAUACUACGCGGUGCUAUACCUUUUCUACUCAAGUUAGAGUAAAAUUUUGCUCUUUUCGAGUAAAACUUCUUGCAUUCCAGAAGUAUAGUGACAAUAAGAAGGCGAAUCGUAGUAGCUAACUCAAUACAAGCAGUGCAAACACUUCGAGUGUUUUGGAAGUGUGAGCAAAGAGCAAGCGAAGGCUAAUAACCAGCAAAGGCGAGCGAAGUCGAGUAACCUUUGCCUUCUCAACUCCUAAGAGAAUGGGCAAAACUGAGUACCCCAGUUCUCUUAUUUAUCCAGCAGAGGAGCUCUGCAUAGGUUCAAAGACCCUUCGAAGAAACUUAGUGGAAGACAACAGUUAUCAAAUCCUCACCAGUGGUAAUAAGUGUUAUUGAGAGUAGAUCGUUCGCUUCAUUUCCCAAUAGAAUGUCAAUCGAAAGCGGAAGUGAAGCGAACUUACUUGGAGGCGAUAAGUAAGUAGAAGAGGAAUCGAUGGGCAAAUUUUGCGAAGGAAAGACCCUAAAAACUUUAAAGUCUGCGAGGUGAUCCUCGUUAAAACUCCAACAGGCAUCCAGCAAGUUCAAGCAACAAGAGACAUUUGAGAGACUGACACAUAACAAGGAAGGUCUUUUCCUUUAUCUAAAGGAUCCGCAACCAACUAGGAUCAGCACAACUCGGUCGACCCCACACCAUAGUUAGAGUCAUUGGUGAGUUGAAGCAAUAUGACGGAUCAAAGUUCGACUACUCAACAACAACGACAGAGUGUAGCUGGGAGCCAAGAGGCUCAUUGCAAUUGGAGCAAAAGAUUGAAGAUUCAGCAAAGGUGAGGAGAUGUAACGUCCAUAAAGGCUUCGACGAGGGCGUCGAAGGAAUAAGUGGGGGAGAAUGUCAUGGACAUAGCUGUAAACAGGGUGUUUGAUGUAAUGCUUGUGUAUGUCCGUGUUUUUCGGUUUUGUUCAUGUUUUGCACAACAUGUAGAGGGCUUGCAGUAGAUUUGACAGCCCCAUUUUAGUUGGCUUUUGUGGUCGUUUCAGGCUUGUAAACGCAGGUUGUGUGCAGUCGUUGUGUAGAGGCAAAACUGCCUAGAAACAAGUCAUCCAAGUAGCCAUUUUGGGGGGUUUUCUAGCUUCGCAGAGUGGUGCAAAGUGUCAGCUAACGCAGCACCCAGGAACUACCAGAGUGGCACAUGGCUCGAUGGGCCUUUGGAGUAGUAUCUAAGGCUUGUUUAUUGUCUUGUUCCGUAGCAAUAUUAUGUGGGCACUUGUGGAGACUUUUGGUCGCGACGGACCACAUUGGACUCUUUGUCGCGUGACUGUUCAGAGCUUGCGAAGUCUAUGUUUAUAAUUUGCAUUACGUAUCAAUUGUUUACUAAAAUGGCUGCUUGUAGAUCCCAAGUUAAACGUUUUCUCUAACCCGUCUUCUAUUUUUUAAGUCUUUAAGGGACCAUAAGAGAUUUCGAGGAGGCUGACCCUUUGCGGACGAACACGCAAGGGUGUCUCACAAUUUAGGUAAAACCAGUUAAGUCUGUGAUAAGUCGGGGAACAGACUGCUUUGUUAUUGCCCACCUGCUUAGGAAUUUGCCUAAUUGUUAAUCAUUAGGCAGGCCAUUGAGGCUCUAGGUGAGUCAUGUAUGGCUCAUCUUAUGUAAGACAACUGUCUAAUUGGUUUAGGUUGACAUUUUUGUAAAAGAAAAAUGAUGUUGUGAUUCAUAAAUUUAGAAAAGAAAA